rnacentral:lncRNA from 1 species
CGCAUGAGAUGAGGUCAUGAUAACGUAACGUAUUAUUCAAAGAUCGGGAAGAGGUUACUUAUCUGUUCGGAUUUGUAGAAUGUUUUCAGGGUUUGGGAGAGAUACUUCACUCAUGCUACUUGAAGUUAUGGCGGCUUCUCCUGUCAGUGUUACAUUGCUCCGAAUUUGGACCGUAGAUUGGUCGAUGAGUUACCAACUAUUGCUGCAAAGUUGAUCUUGGCUCACGGAGAUAGCUUUGUGAGGAUGAUUAUGACGAAGAGAAAGUAGGGCUAAAAAUUAUCGUCAAGCAAUCACAAUCAGAAAAGUUACUUCUCCCCAGACCCUGCUCGAAAAGUCCGAACGCUCACAUGACUUAUUACGUGAGGUGUUUACUCCCGCUUUUGUUUGAUUCGUUUCGUUCGCUAAAUUUCCCUCACUGAAGAGUCAUGGAUGAAAGUGACAAACUCCAACCUGGCAUACUGCGUGAACUGAAGGACACUGAGGAAAGAAUUGUUAGGGGAGAACUUCACCCUAACAAUCAGCUAGCCCUGAUGCACGAGUUCCUGGCCCAAGCCAAAAAAGCAUUGGAGUUUGCCUCAGGAGUAUUAGACUUAAAGGAACAGAGACUUCCACCUGAACCAAAGGCAGAAUCUCAACCUCAAUUGGAACCUCAAACUAAGAAGAAGAAAAUGUCUUGAUAAAAGAGCAUGGUUAACGUCAAGAGCAGUGGUAGCUUUGGUGCAAGAAAUAUUUACUAAGUCUUAUUAUUUAGUUGUUAAAAAUGCUUUAUUAGUAUUUGCAGCCAUGAUUUUAAAAAAUAAAAUCUUAGGAUGAGCCAAAGGCUUUUAUUUGUACUUAUUCCAUAAAAUAUAUGGCACUUUUACACAGCUCAGCUUUGAAGUUGUCUUUUUUAGGUCUCAGGUGCUAUAAGUUAUUUUCUUACGUGCUUUGUAGUAAUAUUUGCUGCCAUGACUUUGGCGAUUGUAUUUAUGACCAGCAAAAGGCUGUGACUUGAAUGUACAGUCAAUAAACCAUGACUUAGCUUUGCAGUAUUAAUUCUUUUCUCAGUCUUGCGAGCUGUAAGAGAUUUGCUAGGUGCUUUUAGUGGUAUUUGCAGCCAUGAUUUUAGAAAACGUACAUAUGACCAGCUAGAGGCUGUGAUUUUUCUGUACUGUCUAUAAACUAUGGCUUAGCCAAAAAUUAAAUGUUUUUUUUUUCAGUUUCAUGAACUGGAAGUUAGGUGCCAAAGUGCUUUGUAGUAGUAUUUCCUGCUAUGAUUUUAUAGAAUGUACUGAAGACUAGCUAUAGGGUGUGAUUUUCUUUACUGUCAAAUUAAAUUAUAGCUUAACUUUGUCAAUGUCAUGAACUGUAAGUCAGUUGCCUAUAAUAAGUGCUUUUUAGUAGUUUUUGCUGCCAUGGUUUAAGGAAUGUAUUUGAUACCAGCUAAAGGGUGUGAUUUUCUUUACUGUCAGUAAACUAUAGCUUAGUUUCCUCAAUGUCAUGAAUUGUGAACUAGUUGCCAAAGGGCUUUUUUAGUAGAUUUUGCUGCCAUGGCUUUUGAAAAUGUACUUAUGACCAGUUAUAGGCUGUGAUUUUCUGUACUGUCGAUUAACUAUGGCUUAGCUAUGAACUAGUCUUUUUGUAAUGUCAUGAACUGUAAAUUAGUUUCUGUAGUGCUUUUUAGAAGUAUAAUUUGCUGCUUUGACUUUAGAGAAUGUACUUGUUACUUGCUAUUUGCUGUGAUUUUCCAUUCUGUUAAUAAACCAUGGUUUGGC